ACCCAUAUGAUCCAGCUAUCUCACUACUAGAAAUAUACCCGAAAGAAAGGAAAUUAGUAUAUUGAAGCAAUAUCGGCACUUCCACAUUUAUUGCAGCAGUAUUCACAAUAGCCAAGAUUUGGAAGUAACGUUAAGUGUCCAUCAGCAGAUGAAUGGAUAAAGAAACUGUGGUACAUAUACACAAUAAAAUACUAUUCAGCCAUAAAAAAAGAGCGAGAUCCUGUCAUUAGCAACAAUAUAGAUGGAAGUGUAGGUGCUUAUGUUAACUGAAAUAAGCCUGACACAAAAAAACAAAGUUCACAUAUUCUCAUUUAUUUUGUAGGAGCUAAACAUUAAAACAAUUGAAUUCAUAGACAUAGGGAGUAGAAUCAUGGUUACCAGAAGCUGGGAAGGGUUAUGGGGGUUCAGGGAGAUUAGUCAAUGGGAACAAAAAUAUAGAUAGAUACAAUAAAUAAGAUCCAGUGUUUUAUAGCACAACAGCAUGACUAUAGUCAACAAGAAUUUACACAAAUCUGUGCACUUUAAAAUAACUAAGAGUAUAAUUGGAUUGUUUGUAACACAAAUAAAGGAUAAAUGUUCAAGGUGAUAGAUACUCCAUUUAUCCUGAUGUGAUUAUUACGCAUUGUAUGUCUGUAUCAAAAAACCUCACAUACCUCAUAAAUAUAUACAUCUAUUAUGUACCCACAAAAAUUAAAACAAUAGCAACAAUAAAAAACAAAGAUGAAAUAAAGAUGGUUUUGGAUGAAUGAAAACUAAUAGAAUUCAUCAACAGCAAAUCUACUAUGAAAUAAAAUGCAUAAUUUUUUCAGGUGGAAGGGAAAAGGUACUAGAGGGAAACCUGAAAGAAGAGCAACACAAAUGGUAACAUCCACAUGAAUAUUAUAGACUGUUUUAUGCCCAAGUUUUAAAAAGAUGUAUAAUUGUUAAAAGCAAAAAUUAUAACAUUUUGGAUGGUUGUUUAAUAUACAGAGUUAAUAAGUAUUACAAUUAAAACAUGAAGGGGAAUAUUAAUUCUAAGUAAACUGUGAAAAGUUAAGUAUAUAUAUAGAGAGAGAGAGAGGGAAAGAGAGAGAGAGUAAUCUCUAGAGUAGCCACUGGGAAGAUAUUCAAAAAUGUAAUAGAUAAAAUGGAAUUCUUAAAACAUUCGAAUAAUCCAAAAAGGCACAAACAGUGGAAUUAAAACAGAAGCUACUUACCAUAGGAUAGUAUAUCAUUCUUAGCUAUCUAUUUUAGAGUAAUGAAAAUCUAUAGUCACAAUAAACAUGUACAUGAAUGUUUCUAAAAAUUUUGUUUGUAGUAAUUACUCAAAACUGGAAACAACUCAAAUGUCCUUUGGUAGGUAAAUGGGUUAAAUCUGUAAUUUAUCCAUGUAAUGGAUUACUACUCUGCAAUAAAAAGGAAAAAUUUAUCGAUGCAAUAGCACUGUUGAUUCCCAAAGGUAUUAUACUGAGUGAAAGAAGCAUUUUCAAAAGGUUACAUACUGUAUGAUUCCAUUUAUAUGCCAAUCUAGAAAAGGCAAAACUAUAUAGAAGAUCAGUUUAGUUGGUGUUAUGAGGAAGGGGAAGUUUUAACUACAAAGGGGCAACAAAAAAAAUUGUUUGGUGUGAUUUGGCUGUUUAUAUUCUGAUUAUAGUGAUUGUUACACAAAUCUACCUUUAUGUUAAAACUGUACACCAAAAAAAAAAAAGUUUUGUUGAGAAAAAAACUUAAUUGCCCAAGAUUAUGUGAGUUUUAUGUCAGAAGAAAAGGUAAAUAGUCUUCUGACUGGGCCCUCAAGCAUUUCUUGAAAGAAAUGAAUUGCUAAAGGAAAAAUCAUUUUACUGGUAGAUGUUACAAUGGUAAUUUGGUAAUACAUUAACACAUUAUUUUUUAUUUUUUAUUUUUUUAUUUUUUUUGGAACAGAGUCUUGCUCUGUCGCCAGGCUGGAGUACAGUGGUACCAUCUCGGCAAACUGCAACCUCUGCCUCCCGGGUUCAAGCAAAUCUCCUGCCUCAGCUUCCUGAGUAGCUGGGACUACAGGCGUGCACCACCAUGCCCAGCUAAUUUUCGUAUUUUUAGUAGAGACAGAGUUUCACCAUGUUGGCCAGAAUGGUCUUGAUCUCUUGACCUCAUGAUCCACCCACUCAGCCUCCCAAAAUGUUGGGAUUACAGGCAUAAGCCACCGCACCCGGACAACACAUUAAUUUUUAAAUUGAAAUCACAAAUUUUAAUGUAUUUAAAUAACAAUUUAUAUCCUCCAAAAACACUCCGAGGUUCAAUAUUUUCUGCCAUAUGACUUUACAGUUUCUCCUAGUAAAAGUUCCAAGAGUAUUUCUCCAUCACUCAAUUUGGGUUCAGCUAUAUAACUUGUUUUAGCAAAAGAAUAAAGUAGAAGUGAUCAUGUGCCAGUUUCAAGCCUAGACCUUAAGAGGCCUUGUAUGUUUCUAUUUGCCCCCUUUUACCUCUGAGGUUGUCAUGAGGAAAACAUUGCUGGGGUUAGCCCACUUGCCCUGGGAGGGAGAUGAGAGAUGUGUAAUGGAGAAAAUCUCGCUAAACUAAACCUAACUAACCCACAGAUCAGUAAGAUUAAUUAUCAGCAUGUUAAAGCACUGUGUUUGGAGGUGGUUUGUUAUGUAAUCUUUUGCGUGUCAAAGGCUAAUGGAAAUCUUCAUAAAGCAAAAACUGACCUUUUUAAAUCCCUAAUAGGACUUCAGUCUUAUGGUAACAGCUAUGAGAAUCAAGAUAUCUAGGAAAGUGUUCCAACAAAAGGAACAAAACAAAUCCAGUUCUAGUAAGUGGAAUACACAGUUUAUCCAUUGGCUCAAAAUAGAUGUUAACAGAUUUGAAAGAAAAAGUCAAAGCAAGGCAGGCAUCGGUGUUAACUUGUUACUUGACCUACUGGAGGCCCUUAAGCACAGAUAAGAUUAGAACUCAGAGUUGAAAGCAAGACUGAAUCUCUUGGUGAAGUUCUAAUGUAUACAUAGAAUAGAUGAGGGUUAACUAAGAGGAAUGCCUUUAUGAAAAUAUAAGGAGGCCUCAAAUACAUAACCCAUUGUGUUUCUUUUGAGCUGGCAUCAAAAGAGCUUAAUGAUAGUUUUUUGUGUGUGUGUGCAAUUACAAUAAGCCUCUCAACUGCUUUGUCUCAGUGUUUUCUGACCUUUCUUGUCUUCGUUUUAAUAGUAUUUACAUUAUUCCUUUGGACUAUCUCUAAUUCAUUUUGAGUGUGACAGAUAGUAUAAAUAUCAAUGUAUGAUACUUUAGCCUAUGAACCAGUGCCUUUAGAAUUGUAUAUCAUCUCACCAACAAUGUAUGCAAUAUUUCAAGAAUAAUGGGGGAUACCAUGAAGGUUGCUACUUGCCUUUUAUGCAAAUGGCUAAUAACACUGAUUUUUAUAAAAUUCUAUUCACUAUGCUGAAAUACUCAGGCAAUCUUAAAAACUUUGGGGGAAAAAUGCCUUUGCCAAAUGAUCCAGGGUCACAAAUUUAAAUCAUUGCAGUUGUUCCGGGUAACUCUUAUUCAAUACUGUGAUUAAUUUCAGAUGAGAGAGACUGAAAGUUUUCUGUCAGGCUUUAUGAAACAACACUCCUUUUAACAGCUGAAAGAUAUCUAAAGUCAAAGGAAUAAAAAGUAGUUUAUUUUGGUUAUGUCUUAAAACCCAAUGUUUUAAAUAAAAAGAGAAGCAAUGAGCAUAGCAUUAAAAUUUGUUUUACUUGGAAAGUCCUUAAAUUUGGAAAACCAAUUUUGGAUCCCAUGCUUAUGAGCUAUGUCAUUUGCUAUCAAUGAUGAUACAAGUUCACAAUGUGAUCUUAAAAUACUUUUAUUUAUGAUACAUAUUAACCAAAUUAUAUUAUGCAUAAACCCAACAAUAUAAGAAAUAUUAACACUGUUAAUCUUUUUCAAAAUCCUUUUCAAACUUUUCUAAACAUUUUGUGGACAUAAACAGUAACGUAAGAGUUCUAACUUCAUUGCAAUCUUAAAGAAUUGCAUUUGAAAAUUCUGGGACUACUAUUAUCAGAAAAUUAAACUAGAACAGAUCAAAAGCCUGAUAUUUACAUUCAAACAACAACAAAAUAUUGUAUUUACCUACAAAUUGAGAGAAACCACAUUUAAGGAUAGAACUCACUUAGAUGCAUAUUAGGGUCAUUGAAGUACUUUUAAAAAUCACUGUACCUGGGCCUUAUCCCCAGAGAUUCUGAUUUAAUUGAUCAAGGGUAAAACAGGAUAUCGCUAUAUUUUUUCAAAGCUCUCCCAAGUGAUUUUAAUGUCCAGCCUGGCUUGAAAAUCAUUGAUCUUUUAAAUCAACGUGGUAUGACCGCGGUAAAAAUACAUAAAAUCUUGGGCUUCAUUUCUAGAAUACAAUGACGAGAUCAAAGGAGGCUAUCAGAACCACUAUUAUAGCCAGGUUGUUCGAUCUGCUAUCCAGGUGACACAUUGUGAAAGGUGAUGUUGACAAAGGAGAGAAACAGGUGUCACCGAGGACAGGAUGAUGAUAUGGUUUUCAAAACUUGAAAUCUUUUCUUGAAGAGCAGAUUUAGGAAAAUUACAAUCCAUCUGCAUUGCUAACACAGGGAAAAGACAAUCAACAUAGUCUGUGUUCCUCCAGGAGGCAGAGCCAGAACCAAUGGAUAGAAGUUAGGAUGGCAACUUUAUCAGCUCAAUAAAAGUAAGAGCAUUUUGAUAAGAGCUUUUCAGCCACAGAUGAACAAUCUGUAAAAUACUGAAGCACAGGCCAGGUGAUCUGUCAUGAGUAUGGGAAAGAGGUUGAACUAUAGAUAUUUUCUUCCCCAUUGUACAAAUAACCUGAAAGAACACCUUGAGGCUUCAUGAAAUUUCUCAAAUCACGUCCUAGUGGUUUAGAGGCUAAAACAGAGUGACUGAGGGGACUCAGACUAUUGGGUAGAACCAAGCAUGAGCUGCUUGUUCUUUGUGUGACCUCGGGAAGUCUACCAUGCCCUCCUUAGCACUAGCCAAGUCUCUGGGUAUAGCAUACCCUCAAAGAGAAGUUGGUUUUUCUUUUUGUCUUUCCAGAUAGAAAUUUUAGUUAUAGAUUUCACUUAGAUUGCUAUUUAAUGAUUGAUCAGACAUUUUCCACUUAAGAUAGCUCCAUUAAUAUACUACAGUAAACUCAAUAUAGAAGUGUUAUGUAGUGGUAGCACUAUAACCUUUAAGUGCUAAGCUAGAUCAGAUUCUCCCAACCUGUGCUGCACAUUAGAAGCACUUGGAGAACUUUUAAAAUAACUGAUGGCCUGGCUUCACCCCAGAGAAUGGAAUUUAAUAGGUCUAGGUAGGGUCACAACAUUAAAUGCUUUUAAUAGUUCCCAGAUGAUUUUAAUAGGAGGCUAAGGCUGACAACCACUAAAAAUCUCUAAGGUCAUUCUCUAAAACUUCAGAAUUCAAUGCUUUAUUUUCAUUUAAUUGCAAAUAAGUAUAUUGUUUGUUGAAAAACAGAACAAGUUAAAAAAAAAAAAAAACCUGUAGCCAUGAUCAGACUUUCGAUUAUAAAUUUAUACAGAACACAGCAAGCCAUUCAAAUUUUGGUUCGUCUUUCUGAACAGUUUUGUAAAUUACCAAGACUCAGUUGUCGAAAGCUAGCUCAUCAUUUUGGGUGGCACGAGCCCAAGAGGAGAAUAACUUAAUUAUGUUGAGUGAUAGAAUUAGCUUUCACAAAGAUUGAAACAGGCUAAAAUUAUAAUUUAAAACCAAUAAAAUUUAAUUUAAUAGCAUUCUAUACUUGGCUCAAGAAAAAUGUGAAAGUAAACUGAAUCAUGGCUUAACAGUGUUGUUAUGAGAAGGAAAACAAAAUUUUUCCUGACUGCAAAUUAUCAGCAGUACAAUACAGUUGCCCAUCCCUCACCAAAAGUAAUUUGAUACUUAAUUUUAUUAGCAAAAAAUACAAAAUAUGAAUGAGUCUUCUCUUUGCUUCUAUACCACUUAUACCUAGUACUACCUAGCAUAUUAAGUUCAGAUCUGGCCACCACCCUUCCACAGCUAUGUUGAUAAACCAUUCCAAAUGUAGAGGAGAGUGAUACUGAUACUAGGACUUUGUAAAAUCAGCAAGCCAGUCAGCUGGGAGGAGCAGUGAGGGUGGUCAGACAAAGACUAGUGAAGAAUCUGGUAUUUUUAAAUGUGGAAAAGGUAAUAAGGUGAGGCAUAGAGGGGUGGUAGGUGGGAGGCAACUGUUGUGAUUACGGCUGUUAAAUAUUUUAUAAACCCAUAUUAAAAGGUAUUAGGUUUUUCAUAUAAUUUCCAAGUGUACCCACAUAAACUUUACAAAGAAGUUACAAAAGACAGUCUUCAUUACAGUUAUGAGAAAAGCUUUGCUGUUUCUGUGUUAGAAUGCAGUAAAUUGCCUGUCACCAGAUUGUAAUGCAGGGUUGAUAUCUAAAUCAUGUUUGUAAUUUCAGGUACAUGGGCUUGUAACAGAUACUCAUGAACAUUCACUAAAUGAAGUUUUCAAGUAAACCUGGGUGAUCAACAACCAGGAAAGCCUGAAAGAUGAUUUGUUUAGGGUAGAGGUAGGACAGACUUUGGACUAUAUAGCUUUUAACACUACUUCCAGUCCUCAGAUUCUAUUGUUCGAUGACACAAAUUAAAUCACAAAAUCCUAAGAUAACUCUAGAUUUUUAUUAUUUGUAAAUCAACAUAAACCUAAAUUCAUCUUCUCCUAAUAAAGUGUAUAUCUUUUUCUCACACAUGUGAUUGUUGUUUUAGUCAGGUUAAAAUAAGCGGUCUUGCAAGCCUUGAAACUUCAGUGGCUUAACAUAGAAAACUUCAUUUCUCUCUCGUAUAAAUCUGUUGUGGUCCUAGCAGCUAUUAAGGACAACUUACUUCCAAAUAGUGAUUCAGAGAUCCAGGCAUCUCAAUACAUAUGCUUCAAGGUCUCUAAAACGGGCUCAUAAAUGUGUGGCUUUGCAAGUAAUCCACAUAACUUCCAUUCAUUGGCCACUGGCCAAAAGCAGUUCCAUAAUCCCACCUAACUAUUGGUAGGUAGGAAAUCUGGGAAGCCCACGUAUAUUCAGCUAGCUAUACAUGUAACUGUCAACAAAAGUAAACCCUCAAUGAAGAUUAAGAUUCAGGGCUACAAGCAUCUGAGAGAGGACACUAAUUAAUUAUGUAAUACAGACAAGUACAUGUUCUGUAAUUCUUGUUCUGUCUUCAUUUUAGAACUUAAAAAAAUAAUGUAACAUUGGAUUAAAAAUUUGCAAGAAAAUCUAUUGGAGGAUGAAACUGUCUAGAAUACAGUGUAGAUGAUAUUCUGUCCAAAAAUAAUAGAUUAGAAAAUUUAAUGUCAAAACAAAUGUCCCAAAUUAGAUGAAACCCCUCUAAUCAAUGGCAAGUUAGAUGGCAAGUUAGAUGUGUUUAUGUUCAUUCUCCACAUACCUACUUGAAAUAUAAUUAAUCAUAACUCCUGAAUCUCAUUGCUCCCUCUUAAUUCUUAUUACUUUAUGCACUUAAAUUUGCUCUUUGGUACCUUUUAAAUAUCUCAGAUUGGGCAAUUCACUUACCAAUUUUAAAAAUAGCUCCUCUAUAUUGAUUAAAAAAUAGGACUUCACAAGAACCUCAAGAGAGGUUCUAAGUUCUAUUUUUUCUGACAUCAUCACAGUUAUAACUUUCCUAAAUAAUUCAUAUUUUGAACAGAGUCCUACAGGUCCAUAAUUCUGAAAUUAUAAAGUUUUCAUUCCAUUAUUUAUCACAUUUUUAAGACCAGACUGAAUAGAUGUUAAAAUGACAUUUGGUCAAAACCAAGAAAGGCCACACCCAAUGGGCAAUCGAAUCUGUAACUGGGGUAACAACACUAGUUCCAGAGUCAGUACAUAUCAAAGCUACACUUUCCUUGGCAUUUGAAAAUCCACUGUCUUCACAUAUUUCUAUUUUAGAACUAUUUUCUAGUUUAAACUUAGAGGAUAAGAUAUAGAAUUUGUAGUCACUAUAUAAAAUAACACUUUUUAAAGCACCUUUUAGAAAACUGCUUU
rnacentral:lncRNA from 1 species